rnacentral:rRNA from 1 species
UUCGCCCUUAGAGUUUGAUCCUGGCUCAGGAUGAACGCUGGCGGCGUGCUUAACACAUGCAAGUCGAACGGGAAACUUUUCAUUGAAGCUUCGGCAGAUUUGGUCUGUUUCUAGUGGCGGACGGGUGAGUAACGCGUGGGUAACCUGCCUUAUACAGGGGGAUAACAACCAGAAAUGGUUGCUAAUACCGCAUAAGCGCACAGGACCGCAUGGUCCGGUGUGAAAAACUCCGGUGGUAUAAGAUGGACCCGCGUUGGAUUAGCUAGUUGGCAGGGUAACGGCCUACCAAGGCGACGAUCCAUAGCCGGCCUGAGAGGGUGAACGGCCACAUUGGGACUGAGACACGGCCCAGACUCCUACGGGAGGCAGCAGUGGGGAAUAUUGCACAAUGGGGGAAACCCUGAUGCAGCGACGCCGCGUGAAGGAAGAAGUAUCUCGGUAUGUAAACUUCUAUCAGCAGGGAAGAUAAUGACGGUACCCAACAAGGAAGUGACGGCUAACUACGUGCCAGCAGCCGCGGUAAAACGUAGGUCACAAGCGUUGUCCGGAAUUACUGGGUGUAAAGGGAGCGCAGGCGGGAAGACAAGUUGGAAGUGAAAUCUAUGGGCUCAACCCAUAAACUGCUUUCAAAACUGUUUUUCUUGAGUAGUGCAGAGGUAGGCGGAAUUCCCGGUGUAGCGGUGGAAUGCGUAGAUAUCGGGAGGAACACCAGUGGCGAAGGCGGCCUACUGGGCUUUAACUGACGCUGAGGCACGAAAGUGUGGGUAGCAAACAGGAUUAGAUACCCUGGUAGUCCACACUGUAAACGAUGAUUACUAGGUGUGGGGGGUCUUAACCCCCUCCGUGCCGGAGUUAACACAAUAAGUAAUCCACCUGGGGAGUACGACCGCAAGGUUGAAACUCAAAGGAAUUGACGGGGGCCCGCACAAGCAGUGGAGUAUGUGGUUUAAUUCGACGCAACGCGAAGAACCUUACCAGGUCUUGACAUCCAACUAACGAAGCAGAGAUGCAUUAGGUGCCCUUCGGGGAAAGUUGAGACAGGUGGUGCAUGGUUGUCGUCAGCUCGUGUCGUGAGAUGUUGGGUUAAGUCCCGCAACGAGCGCAACCCUUGUGAUUAGUUGCUACGCAAGAGCACUCUAAUCAGACUGCCGUUGACAAAACGGAGGAAGGUGGGGACGACGUCAAAUCAUCAUGCCCUUUAUGACCUGGGCUACACACGUACUACAAUGGUCGUUAACAGGGGGAAGCAAUACCGCGAGGUGGAGCAAAACCCUAAAAACGGUCUCAGUUCAGAUUGUAGGCUGCAACUCGCCUACAUGAAGUUGGAAUUGCUAGUAAUCGCGGAUCAGCAUGCCGCGGUGAAUACGUUCCCGGGCCUUGUACUCACCGCCCGUCA